ACAAUCCAGGUAGCUUUAAAAACAAGAGUGAAUAGACAUCUAGGGAAACGCGUCCCAUCUUAGGCCACAUUACCACUUCCCGUCAGGUGCGAUUGUGGCCAAGCGUAUACGUAUAGUGAAUUUUAAAAUAAA